rnacentral:tRNA from 1 species
AAAUAAGAAGCAAAUAAUUGCAUUUAGUUUCGACCUAAAAAUUUGAUUUUUUAUAAUCCUUAUUUA